GACGAACGCUGGCGGCGUGCUUAACACAUGCAAGUCGAACGAUGAAGCGCUGUCUUUUUGGUGGUGUGGAUUAGUGGCGAACGGGUGAGUAAUACGCGGGCAACCUGCCCCUCUGCUUCGGGAUAAGCUUUGGAAACGGGGUCUAAUACCGGAUGUGCCUGUCUGGUCGCAUGGCUGGGGGGGGAAAGAGGUUUUUCGGGGGGGGAUGGGCUCGCGGCCUAUCAGCUUGUUGUGGGGGGGACGGCCUACAAAGGGGUCGACGCGUAGCGGCCCUGAGAGGGUGUUCGGCCACACUGUGACUGAGAUACGGCCCAGACUCUUACGGGAGGCAGCAGUGGGGGAUAUAGCACAAUGGGCGCAAGCCUGAUGCGCGCCGCCGCGGGAGGGAUGGAGGCUUUCGGGGUUGUAAAUUCUUUCGCAGUGAAGCGGGCUGUCCUUGUGGGGGGGUGGUUGGUAACUGGGAAAAGAAAAGCCCCCGGUUAAUUACGGGCCAAAAGGCCCGGUAAUACGUAGGUCCCCAAGAAUUUUUCCCGGAUUUUUUGGGGCUUAAAGGGAGGCCCGGGGGUUGAAAAAAGUUUAAAGUUAAAAGGCUUUUGGUUUAUCCUUUUUACGCUUUGAAAAACUGUUUUAACUUUGAGGGCAAAAAGGGGAGGGGGGGAAUUUCCUUGUGUAGGGGGAAAAAGGGGAAGUAAUAUUGGGGGAACACCGGGGGGGAAAAGGGGCUUCUUUGGGUUGGAACUGAAACUGAGGGUCGAAAGCGCGGGGGGGGAAAAACGGGUUUAUGACCCGGGGGAUCCCAAGGGGGAAUUUCCCCCUGGGGGUGCAGACCGGGGGGAUCCCUUUUAUCUAAGGCGCCCCCACCCCCGGAAAUCCCAUUUUCCCCCUUUUGUGGAGUGCAAAAUGGGGGGUUUAAGGCGACCCAUUCUAAAAACAUCGCGACCCUUUACCCCCCUGUGUUUACGAAAAAUAAGCGCCCGUGUGUAUAGGUACUAUUGUCCUUUGAGCUUAUAAAUU
rnacentral:rRNA from 1 species